rnacentral:rRNA from 1 species
AGAGCGAACGCUGGCGGCAGGCCUAACACAUGCAAGUCGAGCGCCCCGCAAGGGGAGCGGCAGACGGGAGAGUAACACGUGGGAACGUACCCUUCAGUUCGGAACAACCCAGGGAAACUUGGGCUAAUACCGAAUACGUCCGUAAGGAGAAAGAUUUAUCGCUGAAGGAUCGGCCCGCGUCUGAUUAGCUUGUUGGUGAGGUAACGGCUCACCAAGGCGACGAUCAGUAGCUGGUCUGAGAGGAUGAUCAGCCUCACUGGGACUGAGACACGGCCCAGACUCCUACGGGAGGCAGCAGUGGGGAAUAUUGGACAAUGGGCGCAAGCCUGAUCCAGCCAUGCCGCGUGGGUGAUGAAGGCCCUAGGGUUGUAAAGCCCUUUCGGCGGGGAAGAUAAUGACGGUACCGCAGAAGAAGCCCGGCUAACUUCGCGCCAGCAGCCGC